GGGCGCUUAGCUCAGCGGGAGAGCGCUUGCUUCACACGCAAGAGGCCACUGGUUCGAUCCCAGUAGCGCCCACUA
rnacentral:tRNA from 1 species